UCCCGUAACGAGCGCAACCCUUGUCCUUAGUUACCAGCACGUUAUGGUGGCACUCUAAGGAGACUGCCGGUGGACAAACCGGAGGAAGGUGGGGAUGACGUCAAGUCAUCAUGGCCCUUACGGCCUGGGCUACACACGUGCUACAAUGGUCGGUACAAAGGGUUGCCAAGCCGCGAGGUGGAGCUAAUCCCAUAAAACCGAUCGUAGUCCGGAUCGCAGUCUGCAACUCGACUGCGUGAAGUCGGAAUCGCUAGUAAUCGUGAAUCAGAAUGUCACGGUGAAUACGUUCCCGGGCCUU
rnacentral:rRNA from 1 species